GAUGAACGCUAGCGGCAGGCCUAAUACAUGCAAGUCGAGGGGCAGCGCGGUAGCAAUACUGGCGGCGACCGGCGCACGGGUGCGUAACGCGUAUGUAACCUACCCAUUACUGGGGGAUAGCCCGGAGAAAUUCGGAUUAAUACCCCAUGGUAUCGAGGCCAGGCAUUUGGUUUUGAUUAAAGAUUUAUCGGUAAUGAAUG
rnacentral:rRNA from 1 species